AUACUUACUUGGCAGGGGAGAUAUCAUGAUCACGAAGAUUUUCCGAAGGCGAGGUUUAUCUAUUGUAGUACGUUUGUACUGACCCCUGUGAUUUACUAUAGCUUUGCAAAAAGGCCACUGCAACCUUAGACAGAAAAUACAGAUUCUGU
ensembl:snRNA U1 U1 spliceosomal RNA